rnacentral:lncRNA from 13 species
GUUUAUUGAAACCAGGUCUUGCUCUGUCACCCAGGCUGGAGUGUAGUGGCAUGAUCACAGCUCACUGCAGCCUCAACCUCCUGGGCUGAAGUGAUCCUUCCAUCUCAGCCUCCUGGGAAGCUGAGACUGCAGUCUUGCAUUACCACAUUCACUUAAUUUAAAAAUAAUUUCUUUUUGUAGAGAAGGGAUCUCACUAUGUUACCCAGGCUGGUCUUGAACUGCUGAUCACAAGCAAUUCUUCCACCUCAGCCUCUCAAAGUUUUGGGAUUACAAGUGUGAGCCACUGUGGCCAGCGGAGAAUGUGCUUUUCGAAAGGGAAGGCCGUCAUCAUAUCAUUAUCAUCAUCACCAUCCUUUAUUUUGCAGUGGGAAGGUCUGUCCAUCCCCUGGAGAAUACCAGACUUUGGGAAAUACCUACAGCCGAAACAAAGCCCUUUCCCGUCAGACCUGUUUAAGCCAAGCCAAGGUGUGAUGGUAACUGGAUGCUUCACAUAAACGACAGGAUAAAUGAAGGGCAAGAGGGACGCCUACCUGACUUUCACAGCGGUAAGAGCUUUAAUAGGGGCAUCUGUAUAUAAGAACCUAAAAUGAAUCCCAGAGGGGAAACUAGAAUUGUUGAAAGUUUUGACAAUUUUUGCGAUC